UCCUUUAAUUUCUCUCUCUGUAUUUUCAAAAUUUAAUGCCUUAUAAUUUAUUUCUAUGUCAAUCAUGUUGGAAUUUGAUAGUUUGGUACAUUUUAGCUAAUAAAAAGCUUUAGAACUGUUUUAGCAAGUCUCACUAUACAAUGUCAUAUAAUUUGACUUUGGCAUGUUUGCUUCAAGCCUGCAGUCAAGGCUUCAUCGUGAUCCAUAUAUCCUGAAUCCAGGGUCUGUAAAUACAGUUGUUUAAACUUACAGCUAGGCCACCUGGUGCGGAUAAUCAAGAGGCAGAUAAUUUAUCCCAAGCAAUUACAAGGAGAUUGCCAAGAGAUAUAAAGGCGAAACUUGCUAAAGUUGCUAGACUAGCGGUAUUCUGAAAAGCCAUUUUGAUUGUAACUGUUUAACUCUUGGUGUUGUGGUUUAUUUGAAUAGUCGUAUUCACAAACUUGAAUACAUAUUCACCUCUUAAGUUGAAACCUGUAAUAAGUUUAAAUAUAAAUGCUCUUUCUGUUGCAGCAGGCUAGCCAUGGGAAAAUAAUGAAAGGGUUACUCAAAUGAAUAUCCUUGGUCACUUAAUACAGCUCAGAACAUUAAAGAGAAACUUGAAGGUUAUGAUUAGUAUGGGUCUUCAGCAAAAAAGGAGAAAGAUGACAGGUUUCAACAGAUAAAGAGAGAAGUUACAGAUUUGAUUAAGAUAAAGGCCCCAUCUUUGGAGUCCAAGGCAUUGCAACAACAAUCUCGAGCAUCAGAUGAUUUUCAAGAAAUUGCCUCUGGAGCAAAAGAACUUUCUCAAAGAAAACUUAGCAUGGAUGCUGCAUUGGAGGAUAAGAUUUGUGACCUCUAUGACCUUUUUGUUGAUGGGCUGGAUGAAGAUGCAGGUCCCCAAAUAAGAAAGCUCUAUGCUGAAGUACUUCACUUUUUUCGCUGUAUUUUUCCCUGAUUUGUUAUUUGUAUUGCCUGCGCUCUCUUGCAGCUUCCAACAUGUUCUGUUUAAAGUUUCUGUACGAUGCAAUGUAACAUGAAGGCAGUAGAUCUAGGAUUUGAUUCUUCUUACUGCAGUUUUGGAGGUUUGCAGUUUAGUUUUUGGUCGUUUCACUUGAAUGCUUCAAUUUGAAUUAUGAGUGCCUGUUCUCGCU